AGAGUUUGAUCAUGGCUCAGGAUGAACGCUGGCGGCGUGCUUAACACAUGCAAGUCGAACGGGCCUUAUAUUGAAAGAAGCUCCGGCAGAUGGAGAUAUAAGGUUAGUGGCGGACGGGUGAGUAACGCGUGGAGAACCUGCCCUGUACAGGGGGAUAACACCAGGAAACUGGUGCUAAAACCGCAUAAGCGCACGGUACCGCAUGGUACAGUGUGAAAAACCGAGGUGGUACAGGAUGGCUCCGCGUUGGAUUAGCCAGUUGGCGGGGUAACGGCCCACCAAAGCGACGAUCCAUAGCCGGCCUGAGAGGGUGGACGGCCACAUUGGGACUGAGACACGGCCCAGACUCCUACGGGAGGCAGCAGUGGGGAAUAUUGCACAAUGGGGGGAACCCUGAAUGCAGCGACGCCGCGUGAAGGAAGAAGUAUUUCGGUAUGUAAACUUCUAUCGGCAGGGAAGAAGGAAGACGGUACCUGCAGAAGAAGCCCCGGCUAACUACGUGCCAGCAGCCGC
rnacentral:rRNA from 1 species